rnacentral:rRNA from 1 species
UACAGAGGUCUCGAGCGUUGUUCGGAUUCAUUGGGCGUAAAGGGUGCGUAGGUGGCGGAGUAAGUCUGGUGUGAAAUCCCGGGGCUCAACCCCGGAACUGCACUGGAUACUGCUUUGCUAGAGUACUGGAGAGGAGAUUGGAAUUUACGGUGUAGCAGUGAAAUGCGUAGAUAUCGUAAGGAAGACCAGUGGCGAAGGCGAAUCUCUGGACAGUUACUGACACUGAGGCACGAAGGCCAGGGGAGCAAAC